GGUGGGGUUGCAGAGUGGCCAAAUGCAGUAGACUGUAAAUCUACCGUCCCUGACUUCAGUGGUUCGAAUCCACUCCCCACCACCA
rnacentral:tRNA from 1 species